UUAUGAUAUUUGAUGAUUUUAUUUGUUAUAUGUUAUAAACAAUCAAUUGGAUUGAUCAACAAUUAAAUUUCAAUUGAAUUUUCGAUAAAGAACUUUGGAUUCAAAAUUAUUUCUACUCAGUGACCAAGGCAGAAUCUAGAAACAUAAUUUUUAUCACAAAUACAUCACUCACACUCUAUGUGGUAGAAAGCCCCAAUGUGGAACAAAAGAGAGUAUGGGGUGAUCGUGAUAGUAUAACACUCACAUCAUAAAUGCAUUAAAAACUGAAUAAAUUGCAAUUUGAAAAAUUAUUUUUAAAUAAUUAUGCCCAAUUAUUAUUUUCUCCGGUUAAAGGAAAAUAAUGUGGAUAUUGAAAAGAAUUGGAAUUCACCACACAUUAUCCUGUUUUAAGUGUAUGAGAGUUUAAUUUAUAGAAUAGGAAUGCCCUCCAAGUUCGUUGAAGAUAUUAUCAUCCUUUCGUAGUCUUUCAAACAGGCAUUCAACCGAUCACUUGUCUUAUAGAAUUAUCAAGUUUAUUUGAAGGAAUAUAGUUGUAGGAUACUACUUAUAGUAUGAAUUCAUAUGUAUACUUUUCAAUAUUUUGUUUAUGGCCUAGUUUAUUAAAAAAAUAAUAGAAUUUCAUUAUCAAAUUUCAGAAUACUUAAUCGGCUAAACAAAAACUUAAACCCAAUAAGCUUCACUCAUUUUCAUUUCAUUAGAAAGUUUGUUAUUCUAUGGAAUAGGCCUAUGCAUUAUAAAUAUUAUAAAAAAUAUCUCUUGCUUUCUAUAAGAAUAAUUUUAUUUGCUAUGCAGGUCCCCUGCAUUUCAUAGAGAUUGAUUUAAAUUUAAAUUCAACAGCUCAAGUACUGAAACUUUAUGAUUUUUGUUUUACAGGCAGCUCGGACUUCUUCCAGUCCUAUCUGAAAGAAAACUAUGGCCACAUCGAGAUGGCUGGUGUAGCAGCAGAAGUCACCACAGAGGGUCAUGUGUGGACCACUGAGGCAACAAAAGUGAAAUUUAUUUGUGAUUAAAAGUUAUAGACCGUUGUGCAACCGGGUGAUAAUCUUGUAUUAAAGGAAGUUCUUAUGUAGCAAGCACAAGUUAUGGAGUUAGUAAAGGCUGUUAUUAGUUACAUCAGAUGACUUUUGUUGCUGCGAGAGUGUCGACCAUGUUCAUCUACUGAAGCUGCAAUGACAUCCACUAUCUCAUAGAAUGUUCUAUGAGCAGUACUUUGAGAAAAAUUAUAUCUGUCAUCA